rnacentral:rRNA from 1 species
UGCAAGUCGAACGGUGAACACGGAGCUUGCUCUGUGGGAUCAGUGGCGAACGGGUGAGUAACACGUGAGCAACCUGCCCCUGACUCUGGGAUAAGCGCUGGAAACGGCGUCUAAUACUGGAUAUGUGACGUGACCGCAUGGUCUGCGUCUGGAAAGAAUUUCGGUUGGGGAUGGGCUCGCGGCCUAUCAGCUUGUUGGUGAGGUAAUGGCUCACCAAGGCGUCGACGGGUAGCCGGCCUGAGAGGGUGACCGGCCACACUGGGACUGAGACACGGCCCAGACUCCUACGGGAGGCAGCAGUGGGGAAUAUUGCACAAUGGGCGCAAGCCUGAUGCAGCAACGCCGCGUGAGGGAUGACGGCCUUCGGGUUGUAAACCUCUUUUAGCAGGGAAGAA